rnacentral:rRNA from 1 species
AUGUGGGCUAUUUGGUGGGCUCGCAGAAAGUCAAUCCACGACAAUGAGUUUCAAAGUCCACUGUCAACUCUGUGCUUUAUAAGGCGAUUUUUGGAGGAGCUGGAUAUAGCCGAAGCACAGAAACCGCGAUCAACACCAGCACCGGCGGCUCCCAGAGCGCGGGUAUGGCUUCCACCCAAUGGAGAAGCAGCAAAACUAAAUUGUGACGGCGCCAUUUCAACUAUGGGUGACAAGGGAGCGGCGGCCGUGGUGUGUCAAGAUAAAAACGGCAUGUUUCUUGGCGCUUCAGCUUUAGUUAUCGAGGGAUUAACUGACCCGGCGAGCUUGGAGGCACAUGCGUGCAGCGAGGCCCUUGCCCUUGCUAAUGAUCUGAACCUGCAGGACCUGCUGAUUGCAUCAGACUGUCUAGAAGAGAUUCAAGUUACUAGGAACUUUUUCAAUUCAGUUAAGUUUCGUUUUGAACGUAGAGUACAUAAUUUCGAGGCUCACUCGGUUGCAAAAGGAGCUGCGUCUCUGCCGGUGGGCCGCCACGUGUGGCUAGGGAUCCUCCCUGAUAUUGCUUGUAUUCCGGAGGUGUUGAACUUUGAAUAA